rnacentral:rRNA from 1 species
GGGGAAUAUUGCGCAAUGGGGGGAACCCUGACGCAGCGACGCCGCGUGCGGGAUGACGGCCUUCGGGUUGUAAACCGCUUUUGAUUGGGAGCAAGCGCAAGUGAGUGUACCUUUCGAAUAAGGACCGGCUAACUACGUGCCAGCAGCCGCGGUAAUACGUAGGGUCCAAGCGUUGUCCGGAAUUAUUGGGCGUAAAGAGCUCGUAGGCGGCGCGUCGCGUCUGGUGUGAAAGUCCAUCGCUUAACGGUGGAUCUGCGCUGGAUACGGGCGUGCUGGAGUGCGGUAGGGGAGACUGGAAUUCCCGG